rnacentral:tRNA from 1 species
GCAGUGGUGGUUCGGUGUUAGAAUUCUUGCCUUCCAUGCAGGAGACCCAGGUUUGAUUCCCAGCCAAUGCA